UCUGAGUGUGGCAAACGAUUUAGAGAACGGGGCACUCUGAGCAAACACUUUAGAAUUCAUACAGGAAGCAAACCAUUUGACUGUUCUGAGUGUGGCAAACGAUUUAGAGAAAGGGGCACUCUGAACCAACACUUUAGAAUUCAUACAGGUGAAAAACCAUUUAGCUGUUCUGAGUGUGG